ACGGCCAUAUGUUAACAGGUAAACAGCUCGUCUUCCAAACGAGGUAUAUCGAUUCGAGUUCGAUUGGCCGUA
rnacentral:tRNA from 1 species